UUCGCCGACCUUGUCGAUCCUUGUUUGUUUAUGUAGAACGCCACUGUGGAGUUGUCCGUAUGUAUCAUUAGAUGAGCAUUUUUAGAAUGCUGGUCCAACGAAGUAUGGCG